rnacentral:rRNA from 1 species
GAUGAACGCUGGCGGCGUGCUUAAUACAUGCAAGUCGAACGAAGUGAAGUAAAGCUUGCUUUAUGGAACUUAGUGGCGAACGGGUGAGUAAUACAUAAGCAACCUGCCCAUCGGACUGGGAUAACUGUUGGAAACGAUAGCUAAUACCGGAUAGGUAAACGGAAGGCAUCUUCUGUUUAUUAAAGUUUAGAUACACUGAUGGAUGGGCUUAUGGCGCAUUAGCUAGUUGGUGAGGUAACGGCCCACCAAGGCUGUGAUGCGUAGCCGACCUGAGAGGGUGACCGGCCACAUUGGGACUGAGACACGGCCCAAACUCCUACGGGAGGCAGCAGUAAGGAAUUUUCGGCAAUGGGCGCAAGCCUGACCGAGCAACGCCGCGUGAGUGAUGAAGGCCUUAUGGGUUGUAAAACUCUGUUGUAAAGGAAGAACACUAUUGAUAGAAUCAGUAGCUGACGGUACUUUACCAGAAAGCCACGGCUAACUACGUGCCAGCAGCCGCGGUAAUACGUAGGUGGCAAGCGUUAUCCGGAAUUAUUGGGCGUAAAGGGUGCGCAGUCGGCAAAUUAAGUUUGUGGUGAAAGUGCGGGGCUUAACUCCGUAUUGCCAUGAAAACUGGUUGGCUAGAGUGCAGAAGAGGUAGUGGAAUUCCAUGUGUAGCGGUAAAAUGCGUAGAUAUAUGGAGGAACACCAGUGGCGAAUGCGGCUACCUGGUCUGUAACUGACGAUGAUGUACGAAAGCGUGGGGAGCAAAUAGGAUUAGAUACCCUAUAGUCCACGCUGUAACGAUGAUACUAAGUGUUGGGGAAACUCAGUGCUGCAGCUACGCAAUAAGUUUUCCGCCUGGGGAGUAUGCACGCAAGUGUGAAACUCAAAGGAAUUGACGGGGGCCCGCACAAGCGGUGGAUUAUGUGGUUUAAUUCGAUGCAACGCGAAGAACCUUACCAGAACUUGACAUCGUCUGCAUUACUCUUAAUCGAGGAAGUCCUUCGGGACAGAUAGACAGGUGGUGCAUGGUUGUCGUCAGCUCGUGUCGUGAGAUGUUGGGUUAAGUCCCGCAACGAGCGCAACCCUCAUCCUUAGUUGCCAUCAUUAAGUUGGGCACCCUAAGGAAACUGCCGCAGUUAAUGCGGAGGAAGGUGGGGAUGACGUCAAGUCCUCAUGGCCCUUAUAUCCAGGGCUACACACGUGCUACAAUGAGCGGCACAAAGGGUCGCAAACCCGCGAGGGGGAGCUAAUCCCACAAAUCCGCUCCUAGUUCGGAUUGGAGUCUGCAACCCGACUCCAUGAAGCUGGAAUCGCUAGUAAUCGCGGAUCAGCAUGCCGCGGUGAAUACGUUCCCGGGCCUUGUACACACCGCCCGUCACACCACGAAAGCUUGUUGUACCAGAAGUCGUUGGGCUAACCCGCAAGGGAUGCAGAUGCCGAAGGUAUGACAGGUAAUUGGGGUG